AUGGGCAAGGCCAGUCAGCAGAAAAUUGAUUUGGUUUUCAAAAGAAAAAGAGAUGAUGGCAUGAUUGGAUUUGAGGAAGAUCCUUCACCAAUGGCAGAUCAACCUUUCCCAAUGCUUGAAAUUGAACAGCCACACCCAGAGAGCCAAGAUGUUAACAUAGAGGGUGAACUUCUGGAGAAGUACAGCCAUGAAGAUAUCAUUGAAGAUUUCAAAUGCGCGAAGGAACGGAAUGCUGAUUUGUAG
rnacentral:rRNA from 1 species